UACGGAGGAGGCAAGCGUUAUCCGGAAUUAUUGGGCGUAAAGCGUCCGCAGGUGGCACUUCAAGUCUGUCGUCAAAGACUGGGGCUUAACCCUGGAAAGGCGGUGGAAACUGAAGCGCUAGAGUGCGGUAGGGGUAGAGGGAAUUCCCGGUGCAGCGGUGAAAUGCGUAGAGAUCGGGAAGAACAUCGGUGGCGAAAGCGCUCUACUGGACCGCAACUGACACUCAGGGACGAAAGCUAGGGGAGCGAAUGGG
rnacentral:rRNA from 1 species